ACGGGAGGCAGCAGUGGGGAAUAUUGCACAAUGGAGGAAACUCUGAUGCAGCGAUGCCGCGUGGAGGAAGAAGGUUUUCGGAUUGUAAACUCCUGUCUUAAGGGACGAUAAUGACGGUACCUUAGGAGGAAGCUCCGGCUAACUACGUGCCAGCAGCCGCGGUAAUACGUAGGGAGCGAGCGUUGUCCGGAAUUACUGGGUGUAAAGGAAGCGUAGGCGGGACAUCAAGUCAGAUGUGAAAACUAUGGGCUUAACCCAUAGACUGCAUUUGAAACUGUAGUUCUUGAGUGAAGUAGAGGUAAGCGGAAUUCCCGGUGUAGCGGUGAAAUGCGUAGAUAUCGGGAGGAACAUCAGUGGCGAAGGCGGCUUACUGGGCUUUAACUGACGCUGAGGCUCGAAAGCGUGGGGGGCAAACAGGAUUAGAUACCCUGGUA
rnacentral:rRNA from 1 species